rnacentral:rRNA from 1 species
AUGCUCGCCCCUCCGACGCAAUGUGCCGGCCUCUCGUGUGCUCAGCGCCGGCGCGCUCAGGGCGUUUGGCGAAAUGCCGACCCAGAUGCCGGUUCUUGGACUGCGGGUGGACUCGUGGAGCAGGCGCGCUCUGAAGCGUGGGCGUAUGUGCCGCGUGCAGGGCGGCGAGGCGGGUGGUUUCUUGGCCGCGGGCAAUCCUUGGACAUGGUGAUCCCUUCCCACUUGCAGCAACCCGUGCCAUUCCGCCACGACGCAGAGAGGCCAGCAUCUUGUGAGAGCUCGGCGAGGAACUGGAGAAGGGCGCCCUUCUCCUGCUCGGUGCAGCAACUGGUAGGAGUGGCCAAGCAGACCAGCAGCACAAGAGCAAGGCCAAAGGAAGGAGAAGGAGAAGAUGUGUUUAAAGGGCAGUCUGGUGGACGGAGCUCCCGCUUGCGCAGCGUUCGGGGAAGGGCCCGACAACUUUGGGCCUAUUGUACACAGCCUUUUCCUACAUUUCUGUAA